GCCUUGGUGGCGGAAUUGGCAUACGCGCUAGCCUUAGGAGCUAGUGCCCUAACGGGCUUGAGAGUUCAAAUCUCUCCCAAGGCACCA
rnacentral:tRNA from 1 species